rnacentral:rRNA from 1 species
UACGUAGGGUGCGAGCGUUAAUCGGAAUUACUGGGCGUAAAGCGUGCGCAGGCGGCUUUGUAAGACAGAUGUGAAAUCCCUGAGCUUAACUUAGGAACUGCAUUUGUGACUGCAAGGCUAGAGUAUGUCAGAGGGAGGUGGAAUUCCAAGUGUAGCAGUGAAAUGCGUAGAUAUUUGGAAGAACACCGAUGGCGAAGGCAGCCUCCUGGGAUAAUACUGACGCUCAUGCACGAAAGCGUGGGGAGCAAACAGG